rnacentral:snoRNA from 1 species
UUGGCCCUGAAUCAAGGCCAGAAGUUUGUUGAAGCUGUUGGUUUCAAGCAGGAGCCUAAAGUAAUGUCUUUUUAUGGUCUGUUGGCUACUUCAGAACUUUAGAAGUGGUAAUAGUCAAUUCAAUAGAAAGAAACAUCU